rnacentral:sRNA from 1 species
UUUCAGUCGGUUAAUAAAAGUUUUCCCGCUUUACAAUUCUCUCUCUCUCUCUCUUUCUCACAAUUCUCGAUCAAAUCUUCACUGCAAAAACCUAGAUUUUCAUAUUGUUAAGAUGGUAUCAGAGCCAGUGAUUCUUCUGUGGAAUUGCUGACUUCUUGAUUGAUUUGGUUUGGUUCGCUGCUUCCAUUGCUGAAGAAUUUUUCAGGAGAAAUCAAGUUCUGCGAGUUAGGUUUUUCUUUGGGGGAUUUUGUACGCUCUUUUUUAUGCGAUUUGGUGUCUUCAUUUGUGAGUACUAUUCGCUUGCUUUUCUUCAUCAAUUGUUUGAUUUGUGUUGAUUCUAUGAAGGCCGAUGCCUUAGAUUUUGAUAAAGGUCGAUGCCCUAAAUCUUGCAUAUUUCAAUUUUCUUUCGAAUUGAUAUAUUGUGAAAGACUGAUGUCGUUUGUAAAUUGGUGAAGACCGAAGUCACUACCAAUUGAUUGUUCAGAGGCCUAUUGCCAAUCAAAAUUUUCUCUGUUAUUACUGUGAUUCUUUGAAAGAUGGGUUUAUCUGCUGUUAAGAUUGAAAGUAUUCUGGGAAUGUUAACUAUUCGUCUUAUUGAUAACAAUUACUCUAAAUGGGCUUUUCAAUUUAAGUUGGUGCUUAAGGGAUACAAGUUGUUUGCUCAUUUUGAUGGUACAUCUGUAUGUCUACCCAAAUUUGUUGUUAGUCUUGAGACUGGGGUUACUAAAGAACUUUCUUCUGAUUUUCAAGAUUGGGAGACAAUUGAUUUAGCUCUUCUUAGCUUGUUAAUUGCUACUCUAUCGGAUGAUGCUAUAGACCAUGUUCUUGGAUGCAAAACUGCUCAUGAUGCUUGGUCCAUUCUUGAGGAUAGAUAUGCUAUUGUUUCUAAGUCCAAAAUUAACAUGCUUAAGACUGAAUUGCAGACAAUGCAGAAGGGGGGGGGUGUGAUAGUAUUGAUAAAUUUUUGUCUAAACUGAAAUCUAUUCGUGAUCAAUUAAUUGUUGUUGGUGAAGUUGUAUCUGAUAACAAUUUGAUGAUUGCUGCUCUUGCUGGUCUUCCUCGUGAAUAUGCUAUUAUUAGAACAGUCAUUUUAGCUCGGGAGUCUUCUAUUUCUUUGAAGGAAUUUUGAGCCCAAUUGUUGAAUACCGAAAGGGAUAUUGAAUGUAUGGAGCAUAUUUUGUCCAAUUCUAUGGCUGCCAUGACAAGGUAACAAAGGAGAUACUAUACAGAGGCAGGAGUAAGCCAAAUAAGCUAUUUCAGAUUCCUGUGUAUUAGGGAGAAUGACAAGUCAUCAAAUAUAGUUACUGUUAAAUAGUUUGUUAAAGCUAAAUGUAAUCAGUUUUGUUAGUAACUGUAGUUAGUCAAGGUAGUUGAGGGUAUUCUUGUAAUUAGCCUAAGGCAGCUAAGGCUAUAUAUAUUCACAUCUGUACAACUGAAUUAUUGAUUCAAUACAAUCAAGAAAACUUACUGUUGAAGUUUUCUGUUUCUAUA